CCGGGCUCGCCCCCGCCCCCCGGGACCCCAGCGCCCGGCCCUGCAGCAGGACGCAGCACAGGUUGAAACCUACCCCCAAAUGCGUGAGAGUUGGGGCUACUGAAUUCAUCAAGACUUCAUCUCACACAUUCCUGGUCCCAACUCAUUCAUUCCCGUGGACUCGGUCGGCAAUUUGUACAAUUACAUUAAAAAAGAGAUCGGUUUCAAUUUUGCAUUGGAAGGAGAGUGCAUUGAAAAUCGAUCAGUUGUUGCCUCUUGUUUUCUGGAAAGAAUAAACAUCUGGCGAUGUGUAUUAUUGUGGUCCAGCCAUUCAAAAGGUGUAGUGGCACCAACCGCCCUCUCCUGGUGUCUCUCUGAAUCGUGUUACAUUUACAUUAAAACAACUGCUUUUGAGCCAAGUGGGUAAAGGUG